GUUUAUGACUUUAUGUCCUCGACUGGUGAGAAAUUCUUCCACAAGAAGGAGGUCGUGGAGAGAGGUCGUGUGUGUGCACAUGUGUGUGUGUGCAGGAGAUCUUGCUGCCAUGAGGAGGAUGCUCAGAGCUCUCUGCUCAUGUCUGGGCUCCCAGUCCAGACCUGCACCUCCUGAGGAUGAAGGCCAGGCCAUGGGGACUGUCCCUGUGGCCAGCACCACCUUUGUGGCCAUUGGGACUUCUCUGCUAAAGCAACUGCAAGACCAUGAGGGUGACCGAGCGCAGACCUACUGGGAGCUGGAGAGCGUCUUGCAGGGCCAGGACUGCCGCCUGCAGAGUGGUCUGGUGAGCCGUCUGAUGGCAGAGCUGUCCAGGGACAUGCGAGCAGCCCAGGUCGGCCUGGCCUCUUCCCUGCCCACCAAAGCAGCCUGCCUCCUCCCCUGGGGGCAGUACAGAGCAGUGCAGAGAUGUUCCUCAGUCAGAGGAGGUGCCAAGGCAGAAGCUGUAGGCACUCCUCAGGACAGAGAAUCUGAAGAGGGGAUGCAGAGAGCUGUGCACAGAGGUGCACUCAGACUUGUUCCUGCCCAAGCAGCAGCUGGCUACAAGCUCAAGGUUGUAUCUCCUGCCUUGAGGCAGAGCCAUGGACCCCACGAGCUCCACCAUACAGGUGACCCAGGGGGGUCUUGAGUCUGCAGCAGUUUGUUGCUGGAACCUGUCCUGGAGUCCUGUACCCCUAAAUUCCUCUCCUGCCCGGACUUCGGGGGGAAAGGGGAAAAG